CCCUAUGGGGUGCAGCAGGCGGAUUAAUAAGUCAGUGGUGAAAUCCUACGGCUCAACUGUAGAACUGCCAUUGAUACUGUUAGUCUUGAGUAUUGUUGAGGUAGGCGGAAUGUGUCAUGUAGCGGUGAAAUGCUUAGAUAUGACACAGAACACCAAUCGCGAAGGCAGCUUACCAAGCAAUAACUGACGCUCAUGCACGAAAGCGUGGGGAUCAAACA
rnacentral:rRNA from 1 species